AUUAGCUCCUCACACAUCUUGUUUAGGAUGGGAAGAGGCUAAAAUUGUGAUGCCCAGGUCUCUUUGGACAGUCCUUUCUUUCUCCCCAAGGAGGAACCACCUGUUGCUCCUCAUUUGAUGGAACAGCUUGCAAGGCUUGUGAACAGUGGGCAGGGGUCCCAGAAGGGGCCCCAUGGACUACGGCAUCACUCAUGUUCUGUGGUCGGGCCCUUUGCUGUGCUGUUUGGUGGAGAAACUCUGACCAGAGCUAGAGACACCAUCUGCAAUGAUCUCUACAUCUAUGAUACCCGCACAUCUCCUCCUCUGUGGUUCCACUUCCCCUGUGCAGAUCGCGGGAUGAAACGCGUGGGCCAUCGCACCUGCCUUUGGAAUGAUCAGCUUUACCUGGUUGGGGGUUUUGGUGAGGAUGGCAGGACAGCCAGUCCACAGGUUUGCAUCCUGGACUUUAUCUAAAUAAUGCCAAGACACAUCACUAAGCCUCGUUUUGUUUUGCUUUGUUGCAAACCUAUAAAGCGUUAUCACCAGAGCUAUCUGCUUCACUUCAAAUGCUUAUUAAAUUUCAAUCUGAGACUCAA
rnacentral:sRNA from 1 species